GCCGCAACUUGCCCAACAAAAAAAAAGUUCAACCUCAAUUCACAUUCUCCACUGAUAUUUUACCAUUACAUAGCCAUGUAGAAUUCAAAGACAUCAUUUUUAAAAUGUCAUGAAAACAGCCAUUCAACUCUAGUUCACCAAAAAUUAAGACAACAACACAACAAAUUUGGUUGCUCAAGAUCUAAACGGAGGUAGAGUCGAGUUGGCAAAGUGGUUUGGUCAUGCUCUAGUCAACAUCUUGUUUCAUUUUCAAGUUUAACCGGUGAUUUUCUACUAUAAUCCAACGCUUGGAGAUUUUUAUCAAUAGAGUGAAGAAAGUUUACUCCAUCAAGGUUACAGGAUAAAUGAGGUUCAUCGGAUUACUCAAUUCUCUAUCAGGCAAUGUAUCAAAAGUUACAAAGUGAUAUAUCUAAAGGUACUUGAAUAUUUUCCGAAGUUUCAAAUAUACAGUUCAAACUCGGGGAAUAUUUAUUCUGGAGUUUGAAUUAGUUAAGUUUAUAAUAUUGGUUCGAAAUAAUGUCUUCUCCAGAAGACUCUAGCCCUGUUAAUUAUGAUAUCAGGGAGCUCAACAUUGAUUCGGAAAAGGCCAACUGGUUCAGCUGCAGCUCAAAGACCAUUUUACAGUUGUAACAUUAGACUUGUAGUUUUAUUCUGAGCCAUUUUAUGUGUAACUACAAAUACUUGAUUCAUUUAUGAAAUAAAGUUUGAUACAUCAAUCAUUCUCAAUUCCA